GCAGUUGUACAAGAAUUGGUUUAAUUAAGGUUAAUUGGUGCAUAAUUAGAGCAGUUGCCAGCACAAAAGUAAUGGCUGCAGAGCUGGGAGAGUCAAUUUCUAUCCAACUCUGAAGGACAAACCGGGAGAAGAGCUAAGCUGCUGGAAACUGGCAGGCUGAGUAGUAAAAAGCUGGAGUUGCUUAAGAAGCCAACUGAGUGUUUGCCAAGUCCUGAUCCAACUCCAAGGACAAAUUCACUUCCAAGCUGCCCUCUUGACCGUGCCUUGGACAGACCGGAAACAUUACAAAACGAGGAUGCAGAUACCGCUGAAAUAGGGGCUGUGCAGGUAAAUGCAGCAAUAAUUCAUGUGCUUUGCAAUAAACCUCACAUACAGCCAUGGGACUAAAUCAUGGAGCU